UCUGAGCCGCUUACUUAAGCCAGCACUGCUGUGCGGGGCUCUGGCUGCGCCUGGUCUGGCAGGCACCAUGUGUGCAUCCCGCGAUGAUUGGCGCUGUGCACGCUCCAUGCACGAAUUCUCAGCUAAGGACAUCGACGGGCACAUGGUCUGCCUGGAAAAGUACAGGGGUUUCGUGUGCAUCGUCACCAACGUGGCCUCGCAAUGAGGCAAAACCGACGUAAACUACACUCAGCUAGUCGAUCUGCAUGCCCGAUAUGCUGAGUGUGGUUUACGAAUCCUGGCCUUCCCCUGCAACCAGUUUGGGAGGCAGGAGCCAGGAAGUAAUCAAGAAAUCAAGGAGUUUGCAGCCGGCUACAACGUCAAGUUUGACAUGUACAGCAAGAUCUGUGUAAAUGGGGACGAUGCCCACCCACUGUGGAAAUGGAUGAAAGUCCAGCCCAAGGGCAGGGGCAUGCUGGGAAAUGCCAUCAAAUGGAACUUGGAAGGGCCUGUGGGGAGUCUGUGUAGAGGUUUCCACGAUCUGACUGUUGCCUGGGCUACAAGAUGCCACCCUUUCUGCCCGUCGAACAGGUUACACCAGCAGACAGGAGGUACCGGUUUCCGUUGCCAGGACUCAAGAUGGCGACACGAACGUCGCGACCAUCAGAGCCACAUGCUCCGCACUCCGCCUCGGCCCCCCUCGGAUCUCACUGGACUUUUAGAAGUCACCGUGGGGACUCUCAAGGACGGAAUCUCGGGCUCCGGCGUCAAUGCUCCAUUAUCUGCCUUAAAGGACCGCAUUCCUAGGCACACAAUGAGCUAGAAUCACCUAACUUACAACACCGCCCACC